rnacentral:lncRNA from 1 species
CGCGAUUCCGCCGUGCCGCCUCCUUGCCCGAAAUGUCAAGGUAGGUUCCCGCAACGGGAGGGCUUCUCUUGUAGAGCCUUGAUUCCAGACGGUAUUCUAUACCCACACGCCAAGCGGUCCAACGACGAUUUUACUUCUUUUUCCCCCUGAUAGGCCCAAUGCGAUCGAAGGCUUCCCGGGACAACGUCCUACGUUUUACUUACAGGUGCCGCAGCACCAGCGGCCCUGCAAGAAUGCCACCGGCACCCAAAAAAAAGGAGGGAGCAGUGCAGCGGGUCUCUGUAGCCUCUCAGCAACACGUUUUUCGACCGUGUACACAUCCCACUGGUAAAGGUAAGAAACCUCCGCCAGCCAGCGUGCUCUGUCUGCAGAUGGGCACGCCGCACUCCAGGUCUCAUCGGGCCUCCGUGCCGAUGUUUCCCCGCCUCCCGCUAAUUGUGUUGCCUUCUUAUGAUUUC